rnacentral:rRNA from 1 species
GACGAACGCUGGCGGCGUGCUUAACACAUGCAAGUCGAGCGGUAAGGCCCUUUCGGGGGUACACGAGCGGCGAACGGGUGAGUAACACGUGGGUGACCUGCCCUUAGCUCUGGGAUAAGCCUGGGAAACUGGGUCUAAUACCGGAUAUGACUCCAUGACGCAUGUUGUGGGGUGGAAAGCCUUGUGCGGCUAGGGAUGGGCCCGCGGCCUAUCAGCUUGUUGGUGGGGUGANGGCCUACCAAGGCGACGACGGGUAGCCGGCCUGAGAGGGCGACCGGCCACACUGGGACUGAGACACGGCCCAGACUCCUACGGGAGGCAGCAGUGGGGAAUCUUG